rfam:Cephalotus follicularis DNA, scaffold: scaffold8587, isolate: St1.
AGGUGCGAUCAUACCAGCACUAAUGCACCGGAUCCCAUCGGAACUUCGAAGUUAAGUGUACUUAGGCGAGAAUAGUACUAAGAUGGGCUAUCACAGGACUUCCACAGACACAAGCA